GCGGAGGAGCAUGUAGGUUUAUUCGAUGAUACGCGAGGAACGUACCUGGGCUCGAACGUAAGAUGACUGUAGGUGAAAGCUUACAUCUCUUCGGAGCAUUUUACGAGGUGCUGCAUGGUUGUCGUCAGCUCGUGCCGUGAGGUGUCGGGUUAAGUCCCAUAACGAGCGCAACCCCUACCUUUAGUUGCCAUCAGGUUAAGCUGGGGACUCUAAAGGAACUGCCUACGCAAGUAGUGAGGAAGGCGGGGAUGACGUCAAAUCAGCACGGCCCUUACGUCCAGGGCUACACACGUGCUACAAUGGCCGAUACAGAGGGCAGCUACCUGGUGACAGGAUGCAAAUCUCCAAAGUCGGUCUCAGUUCGGAUCGGAGUCUGCAACCCGACUCCGUGAAGUUGGAUUCGCUAGUAAUCGCGCAUCAGCCAUGGCGCGGUGAAUACGUUCCCGGGCCUU
rnacentral:rRNA from 1 species